AGCUGCGGCAGCGACGCUGAUGCGUUGUUGGGUAGGGGAGCGUUCUGUAAGCCUGCGAAGGUGGCCUGUGAGGGUUGCUGGAGGUAUCAGAAGUGCGAAUGCUGACAUAAGUAACGAUAAAGCGGGUGAAAAGCCCGCUCGCCGGAAGACCAAGGGUUCCUGUCCAACGUUAAUCGGGGCAGGGUGAGUCGACCCCUAAGGCGAGGCCGAAAGGCGUAGUCGAUGGGAAACGGGUUAAUAUUCCCGUACUUGGUGUUACUGCGAAGGGGGGACGGAGAAGGCUAUGUUGGCCGGGCGACGGUUGUCCCGGUUUAAGCGUGUAGGUGUGUGUUCCAGGUAAAUCCGGUUCACUUUAACACUGAGGCGUGAUGACGAGGCACUACGGUGCUGAAGCAACAAAUGCCCUGCUUC
rnacentral:rRNA from 1 species